UGUAAACAUGUUUAUUGGACAUUUGAACAUGGGGACUUAUGGAGACUCUGUAUUAAGGAAUUGCCAUAUUAGUUUAAGACGCCACGUCUCAAUAAGUUUUGGUUUUGAGCUCACUGACUUGUCGUUCCCACCAUUGAAGAAACCAAUCAGAACUUUGUUGAUGGGGUCUUAAGUGUAGUUGAAACGGACAGUCAAUAAGAGCAAUAACACCGUUUUAAAUAUCCUUUUUUUUUGGAUCGAUGUGAACAUCAUUAAGUCAACUGAUUUCAGCCACAGAUGAAACAUUGUCCUGUUUCUAUGGGAGCUGUCUGUCCUUUCAAAGAGGUCAUUGAAUAGCUCUCCCACCCAGGUCUCAAUCUGAUUUAUUUAUUGAACAGAGCUCCAAUCGCCAUCUUCGAAAACAGAAAGCAGCACCGAAGCUGUUCUUUAUGUUGGCUCGUGUCGAUUGGUCACCACAUCUUGUAGCUCGAUUUCUCUGCUUUGUCGAGACCGUGUAAUCAUGUUGUCAUCCCCCCCCCCGCCCACCCGCGUGGCCUUUAAAACAAAAGUCCACACAGAUGGGCUUGGACAAAAAAAUCCUAUCUAACACAGAGCUGAUACGUUUUAUCUGUUCGGUGACUCUGUGUCGAUCUAAAUCAGAUCUCGGACGCCGCAAAAUGUUUAUGUUGUUUCCUGAUUGAAAUCAGACAGCAAGGCCGAGCGUUCAUGAGGUUUACUCUUCCUUCAAUACAAAUAAAGGAACUUGUCGACAAAACAUAAACAAGGUCUUCAUUGUCAGAUGGUAAUUGUAGCCACAACAAAGUCCCCCUGUUGAUAAAUACCAAUCAGCUCAGACUUUAAAAAAGAUAAAUAAGAAAACAAAACAACAAAAA